rnacentral:lncRNA from 1 species
CGAGUUAAAAAUAAAUGUGCCCAGAGCACAUGAAGUACCCAAUAAAUGUAGCUAUUAAUAUUCUUGCGACUUUUACUUGGGGAUAUUGAGGCACAAAGUGUGAGCCAGGAAAGGGAAAAAUUCAGAAAAAGAAACCCCCUAGGGUUCACAUCUCUGCAUGCCCCAUGACAACGACACCUGGGCCCCUCUUCACUAGCUGCCUCUCUCGAUGUUCAAAUGGAGGGCUGAGAAGGGUCCCCCAGUCCCCUUCCCUCCUUAGCCACUCUCCUUUCUCGGAUCACACCACAUUUUUAUUUACGGGGAAGUCUGCUCCUAGGUCAUUCUGCAGUAAGAUAGUCCUCAUGCAAUCAGCAGGGUCUUGGGACGUAUGCUUCUGCAAAGUCCCCGGGUCCCCCAACAUGGCCCUGCUAAGGCCAUCCAGCCUGUGCUCAGGCCCCUCCGGGGAUGUGCAAAUUUGCGGAGACAGCCUACUCCUCUCCAGCACUUCUAUCUUCCUUCAGGUGACUGUCCAGGAGUUUUCAGUGGCAUUAGCUUUGAGCUCAGUGCCUCCUGAGAAGCAGCCCGGGCUGUCUGAUGGGAGCUGUUGCCCAGCUCCAGGCUGUUUCUGUGGUGCAGGCAGACAUGGCCAUCCAUCUUAUAGGCAGUCAGGAAUUAUUCACAGAAAGAAAGGUGUGAAUGGGCAGACAAAGACUCUCUGCAGGCUGAGAGCAUCCUCUGUGGGAGGUGGGUGGCAGCCUCUCCUAAUGGGCUGGAGCCCAUGGGGCAGGUCUGUUUUUGCCAAGACUCAUCGUCUUCAGGGCUCCCUUCGCCCAUCCUGACGGGGCUGCUAAUGCAUAGUCACUACGAGCUGUAUGUGUGUGUGUGACACCCUAUUGUGUGUCCACAGGUGCACGGCAGAGGGAAAAAGGCACAAUAUGGAGAGUCUUCUUUCUUUCUCCUAGUCUGUCAGCUGCAGGCCCUCCACCAAGCCUGGGGGAUAAGUCUGGAAGAAAUAUGGUUGGCAACAAUUAAGACUUUUUUAAGCGGAAAUACAAUUUGCGUUUUCCUUAGGGUGUGACAUCCAUGGCCAAGUGGGUGUCAGGCCUAGUGAGAGCUGCUGUUGAAUGCCCUUGUAAGGCCAGGCCAGUGCCUAAUCUCCUGUGUGUGCAGGACAAGUAGGGUCCGGUCCCUACUGGACCUGGUGGCUGCACUCCACGCUCUGGUGAGUCUGGGCAGUCUUAUCUUCCUGUUCCCUGGAGUGGAAACUGGGGACGAGUGGGAUUCAUUCCAGGCACCUGCAGAGUUGAGAGCAGAGAAACAGGCUUAGGACUCAGCCCCGCGGCCCCAGAGCCGGGGGCUCCUGCAGAGCGACAUGCAACCUGUGGGGGCUUGAGUCAAGAACCACAGUAGAUUACAGCUCAGAAAAAAACUCCUUGUCUAGUUCUGAGCAGACGCGUGCGAGGUGAAUCAGAGUGAACGUGGGAUUCUGUCCCGGGACAAUCUGUGAACUGUUCCACCA